UGGGUAACCUGCCUCAAAGAGGGGAAUAGCCUCCCGAAAGGGAGAUUAAUACCGCAUAAUAUGUUUAAGUCGCAUGACUUUAACAUCAAAGGAUUUUCUUUUAGAAAUUCCACUUUGAGAUGGACCCGCGGUGCAUUAGCUUAG
rnacentral:rRNA from 1 species